rnacentral:misc_RNA from 1 species
GAAAUGCGAUACGUAAUGUGAAUUGCAAAUUCAGUGAAUCAUCGAGUCUUUGAACGCACAUUGCGCCCCCUGGUAUUCCGGGGGGCAUGCCUGUCCGAGCGUCAUUUCUGCCCUCAAGCACGGCUUGUGUGUUGGGCCCCGUCCUCCGAUCCCGGGGGACGGGCCCGAAAGGCAGCGGCGGCACCGCGUCCGGUCCUCGAGCGUAUGGGGCUUUGUCACCCGCUCUGUAGGCCCGGCCGGUGCUUGCCGAUCAACCCAAAUUUUUAUCCAGGUUGACCUCGGAUCAGGUAGGGAUACCCGCUGAACUUAAGC